ensembl:snRNA U6 U6 spliceosomal RNA
GUUCUCACUUUGCAGCAAAAAUACUAAUAUUGAAACCAUGCAAAGGAUAUCAGCAUGGUCUCUGCAAAAGAAUGACAUGCAAAUUCCUGAAGCUUUCCAUAAAAAA